GAUGAACGCUGGCGGCGUGCCUAAUACAUGCAAGUCGAGCGAACAGAUGAGGAGCUUGCUCCUCUGACGUUAGCGGCGGACGGGUGAGUAACACGUGGAUAACCUACCUAUAAGACUGGGAUAAUUUCGGGAAACCGGAGCUAAUACCGGAUAAUAUAUUGAACCGCAUGGUUCAAUAGUGAAAGACGGUUUUGCUGUCACUUAUAGAUGGAUCCGCGCCGCAUUAGCUAGUUGGUAAGGUAACGGCUUACCAAGGCGACGAUGCGUAGCCGACCUGAGAGGGUGAUCGGCCACACUGGAACUGAGACACGGUCCAGACUCCUACGGGAGGCAGCAGUAGGGAAUCUUCCGCAAUGGGCGAAAGCCUGACGGAGCAACGCCGCGUGAGUGAUGAAGGUCUUCGGAUCGUAAAACUCUGUUAUUAGGGAAGAACAAAUGUGUAAGUAACUAUGCACGUCUUGACGGUACCUAAUCAGAAAGCCACGGCUAACUACGUG
rnacentral:rRNA from 1 species